rnacentral:lncRNA from 1 species
CUCCACCCUUUCCUGUCCAGACCACUGUGAAGGCCUUUAGUCACCUCCUAGAGAAGCAAGAUUUUCAGCCCUGGCUUUCUACCCCCACACCCUACAGCCGGCCAGGGGACAGGGUCGUGUUCACACAGUGCUAAGGGAACACGCUGACGUGUGUGACAUCAAGAACUCCAGUGCCCACACAGCCCGAGUCCGGAUGGGACGUUUGAAAUCAGGAAGGAGUGUGGGUUGGAUCCACGUUUCUGUUCAUACCAGGCAGGCACAUCGGAAGGCUCACGGUCAGAGGAUGCUGGGACAAACGCCACGAGAGGUUCCUUUUUGUCUGGCUCACCCAGAAGAGAGGCUCCUCUCCUCCCUUCCCUGCAGCACAACGGCCUGGCUGGCACCCAAAGGGCAGCCGGCAUGGGCUGACCUCAGAGGAGCAAGGCGUGUUUGCAGCUCUGCCGCUCACAUCCACAGUGGCCAUGACAACAGGUGCAGCACCAUCCAUUAAAGCCCUGUGUCAUUUCA